UGCAGAUUUUAUUCUGGUAGUGCAACCCUCUCAAAGGUUGAAGGAACUGAUGUAACAGGGAUUGAAGAAGUAGUAAUUCCAAGAAAGAAAACUUGGGAUAAAGUAGCCGUUCUUCAGGCACUUGCGUCCACAGUAAACAGGGAUACCACAGCUGUGCCUUAUGUGUUUCAAGAUGAUCCUUACCUUAUGCCAGCAUCCUCUUUGGAAUCUCGUUCAUUUUUACUGGCAAAGAAAUCCGGGGAGAAUGUGGCCAAGUUUAUUAUUAAUUCGUACCCCAAAUAUUUUCAGAAGGACAUAGCUGAACCUCAUAUACCGUGUUUAAUGCCUGAGUACUUUGAACCUCAGAUCAAAGACAUAAGUGAAGCCGCCCUGAAGGAACGAAUCGAGCUCAGAAAAGUCAAAGCCUCUGUGGACAUGUUUGAUCAGCUUUUGCAAGCAGGUGACUGAGUUCGAUUAAAGCACCUCUAAUAACAUGGGCUUUGAAGUGGGCCCCAGUUAUAUGAUUCAUAUAUUUUGAGUAAGAGUUACAGGUCCUGCUGUACUUACUCUGCUUUGAUGGCUGCGUGCUUUAUAUUU
rnacentral:sRNA from 1 species